AAAACAUUUGAUGAGGAUAUUCUACAUUUAAAUUUAAUAAUGAUGAUGAUGAAAUAUUUCAGUGAAAGAUGUGCGAUUCUUUGCGUUUAAGGAACUUUUUAUCAAUGUCAACAUUUUUUUCAGUCAAUGCAAUAUGUAGAAAACUCUGACUGGCGUUAGGCACGCAACUGAAAUAAAUUUAAUACAAAAUAUAAAGACACACACAUUAACAUGAUAUCAUUUAUUUGAACACUACUGGUUCAUCUUCUUCGUCGUCUAAUAAUUAUUUCUGUCUGUUUGAUAUUUUUAGUUUAAUUUGGAGGCACUCCCCUUUAAAACACUCAAUGUCACGCAUCUUGCAAAAACUUCACACUAGUCGUGACCUUUUAACAUUAAAAGUAUUACCGUUUAUCUAAAGUUCACAUUUCUGUGUAGAAAAUUACAUCCAGAAAAAAUAAUAAGAGUUUAUAGUUAAUUGCCUAUAUGGUAGAAGGUCAAUUGUCAGUGCACGUACUUACUAUCCUCAGAUACCGAUGCGAAUUUCAACAAGUGGUUGGUUGAAUUGUGUUGAUAGCACAAAAUGACGACUGUUAGCCGCGGUUUAUUUAGAUGGUUAUUCUGGCGUUGUGCCACCUUUGAAAACUUUGCCGACAGACUGAGUCACAUCUGGACAUUCGGACUCCUGCUUCUGCUAGCAGCAUAAUUAGCUGGAACCAUAACUAUAACAAACCUAUAAGUUGCUGGGUACCAAACGAGUUUACCGAAGGUAUGCAGCAAUAUGCUGAUAAAACUUGCUGGCACAAGCAAUUCGUAUACCUUCAUCCAGAUGUUGAAGUACCAUUAUACGCUCAAACAAAAUUGUCAACAAUAAAAUUACUGCAUCAAUGGUUACCGGUUAUUCUUUGCUUUCAGGCUCUUCUAUUUAAACUGCCAAAUCUUCUCAUGUAUAUUCUACACGGUUUUUCUGGUAUAAGCUUUGACAAAAUCGCAGGUUUGACCAGCGGAUUCGAAAAUCUGAACAUGCAGGAACGUAACAUUUUGAGUAAGCAGACAUCACGUUACAUCUAUAACUGGCGUAAACAGUUUGCUAGUUGCUUACCAACAAUUUCUUACGGUGCUCUGGUUGAUUGUCAAAGUCCUACACUGCAUCAACAUCAUUGUACAAUUAAGUCUUGUCGACACUUUUCUGGCAUCAAGGGAUCCACUGACUGGAAAUUCAAUAUCAUAUGGUAAAGUUAUUACGAGAAUUUUUUUUCUAACGACUCAAGUUUAUGGGUGGAUUCACCAGCCUUUCCCCGUGUGAUUAUGUGCGAUUUUCAAAUUAGACGACUACAAAACGUUCAAAGCUAUGUUGUUCAAUGUGAACUAAAUGGAAAUCACUUUAACGAGAUUGUUUAUAUGUUCCUUUGGGUAUGGUUUGAGUUUGUUGCUGUGGCAACCUGUCUCAGUCUCAUGAUGUGGACACUCGGAACAAUUAUUCCAAUCUUUCGGAAGCGGUAUAUAAAGAAAAUGGUGGAACUUGCAGAUGACCCUAACGUCACAGUCAUUAGGCCACAUGACCUAGAUCAAUUCUGUAACUUCAUUGGUGAGGAUGGCACUAUGGCGUUGAAGUUAAUUGGAGCUAACUCAUCGGAACUAUUUGUCGGCGAUGUCGUCUGCAAUAUGUGGAUGCUUAGAAACCGAGGAGGCAAUCCGCAGCAGGCGUUACAACCUAGUGCCCCAGAAGUUUUAGGAAUCCCACAUGGAGCGAAAGUGGUAUAGAUAUUCAUAAUGUUGGCAAGUCUUCGGACGAUGUUAACAAUUGCAGACAACAGUCUAUUUGAAAUUAGUUUUUGAGACUCACUGCGGCAUAAUUUUGAACAGAAUAAUAACAAGAGGGAUAUGAAACCAGAUAUUCCUGUUUCCUCUUUGACCUGUAUUUCAUUACGAUAAACAUUCUUACAUCGUUUUAUGUAGAUCUGGUAAAAGCGUGGACCCAAAAGUGUUGACAAUAUACUUAUCUUUUACCCUAGAAGACCAAGUCUCCUAUUGCAAAUAAAUUCUUCA
rnacentral:misc_RNA from 1 species